GAUGAACGCUGGCGGCGUGCCUAAUACGUGCAAGUCGAGCGAACGGACGAGAAGCUUGCUUCUCUGAUGUUAGCGGCGGACGGGUGAGUAACACGUGGAUAACCUACCUAUAAGACUGGGAUAACUUCGGGAAACCGUAGCUAAUACCGUAUAAUAUUUUGAACCGCAUGGUUCAAAAGUGAAAGACGGUCUUGCUGUCACUUAUAGAUGGAUCCGCGCUGCAUUAGCUAGUUGGUAAGGUAACGGCUUACCAAGGCAACGAUGCAUAGCCGACCUGAGAGGGUGAUCGGCCACACUGGAACUGAAACACGGUCCAGACUCCUACGGGAGGCAGCAGUAGGGAAUCUUCCGCAAUGGGCGAAAGCCUGACGGAGCAACGCCGCGUGAGUGAUGAAGGUCUUCGGAUCGUAAAACUCUGUUAUUAGGGAAGAACAUAUGUGUAAGUAACUGUGCACAUCUUGACGGUACCUAAUCAGAAAGCCACGGCUAACUACGUG
rnacentral:rRNA from 1 species